rnacentral:rRNA from 1 species
UACGUAGGGGGCGAGCGUUGUCCGGAUUUAUUGGGCGUAAAGAGCUCGUAGGCGGUUUGGUAAGUUGGAUGUGAAAUCUCCAGGCUCAACUUGGAGGGGUCAUUCGAUACUGCCAUGACUAGAGUUCGGUAGGGGAGUGUGGAAUUCCUGGUGUAGCGGUGAAAUUCGUAGAUAUUCGGAGGAACACCAGUGGCGAAGGCGGCUCACUGGCUCGAUACUGACGCUGAGGUGCGAAAGCGUGGGGAGCAAACAGG